UACGUAGGGUGCAAGCGUUGUCCGGAAUUAUUGGGCGUAAAGAGCUCGUAGGCGGUCUGUUGCGUCGGCUGUGAAAACCCGGGGCUUAACCCUGAGCUUGCGGUCGAUACGGGCAUGACUGGAGUUCGGCAGGGGAGACUGGAAUUCCUGGUGUAGCGGUGAAAUGCGCAGAUAUCAGGAGGAACACCGGUGGCGAAGGCGGGUCUCUGGGCCGAUACUGACGCUGAGGAGCGAAAGCGUGGGGAGCGAACAGG
rnacentral:rRNA from 1 species